CACUUUCCCAAGGGAAGGCCCUAUGGACUCUUCAUACCUAGUAGUGUACGAAACACAUUUCCCUUAGGGACUGUGAUCUGCAGUGAAGACAGCCUCGCUCACGAUUCCCAUCUGAAGGAAGCUCUCCACAGCGGAAGCAGAACUGCCCUGCGCCCAAGCCCCUGGAGGAAAGUCUGGGAUGGAGCUCCUGGAAACACGCAGCGAGAGCAGCAUGGAUGGGCCUCAUCUCCUCCUCUGAUCCAGGGACGUGCCUACGACAGAAUGGCUCUGCUGCCUACUCCUGGGUCUCUGCCAGUUGGCCUGGUCCUCAAACCAGGAGCCCUGGCAGUGCCCCCUGAGUGGUCAGGAAGCCCUUUUCCUGCCGUUCCUGGUUCCUAGCUCAGGCUUGCAGAGCUGGGCUGCGCUGGGGGCAUGGACAAGAGUACAAAGGCAGUGGCUCCCUGUCAGCGGUCCCGGUUCGCCCUCCUGGUCCGGGUCACGGUUCAUCUGUGUCACGUGUGAGAGAAAAAAGGAGAUGCGCUAAAAGUCACCUGCAGCGCUCUGUGGAAACAGAUGGCUGCACACUGGUCAGGGCAGAGGACGCCCCUGCUGCUGCCUUUGAGAGAGCGUUUGUUCCACGUCCCCAGGUCCCAGACCAGCAACCUGGGACUCCGUAAGUUCCCAUGUGAGCUCCCUAAAUCAUCCCAAUGGCUUUUUUUAAGCAGGAAAGGAGAUUAAA